UGUGAGAAUGAGAGAAUGAGAAAAGCAUAUGAAUUCUUUGUUUUUGUAUACCCACCUUGACAUAUUUGGUUAAAUCAUUAAAAUUUUUUGUGAUUUUUUUCCUCAUUUAGAGAUUCCCAUUGUGAUCAGCCUUCACCUCAGCGACCAUUUGCCAAGUGCUGUGUGUGCUGGCCUCAGCAGAUCUCCUGAUCCCUUCAUCUUCUGUUCUAAGAAGAAAUUCACUUCUAGGAAAAGUCAUUGGUCCAGUUCAAAUUAGUAUGACCACAAAGUGUACACUGAGCUACAAACAGUCAUAAAAUGAAGAUGGAAUAAAUCUGAAAACUGAUUUAUCAAAAACAGAGCUAUUGAAUAUUGCAGUCGUCUACUGAAAAGUCCCUAUGGUUCAAAUGUAGCAAAAACAUACUGAUUGUUAUGCCAGGGCUGAGCUGGACAAAACAUCUAUGAAAUGUACCUAUAGAUAAGUUAUUAUUGAGAGUAACAUUUCUGAUUGCAAUGCUUAAUGUAAAAUUCAUGAUAUGCUAAUUUCAUGUAAAGUUCAGUUUGCAGCGCAAGCUCAUUACAAUAUUUAAACUGAUAUUACAUCUUCUGAAUGUUUUUAAUUCAUAGCAAUUUUAUUGCCAAAAUAUUGUACUGAUAUUUUAACAGUAUAUCACUGAAAACAUGGUGACAUUUCUGAGGGGCCACUCUGAGUUAGCCCGUAAUCAUGGAUCUAAAUACUGUAUAUAAAAAUUCGGCUCUAAUUUGAUCAGAAUGAGAGUCAGUUUAAUAAAUCAUAGUCUUAUGAGACAGGAAAUUUCUUGUUUGUGGCAGAAGUACAAUGUAAAAAAACAUUAUAAAUUACAAAUUAAACAAAAAGUAAAACAGAAAGGAAUAAUGUGUUGGCCUUCGUGGGCCAUUCAAUAAUCUGAUGGCAGAGGAGAAGAAGUGGUUUCUGAAUCAUUGAGUGUGGAUCUUCAGGCUCCUGUGCCUCCUCCCUAAUGAUAGUGGUAAGAAGAGGACAUCUUUUGGAUGGUGAGAGUCCUUAAUGAUGGAUGCUACCUUCUUGAGGCACUGCCUCUUGAAAUAACCUUGAUGGUAAGGAGGAUUGUGCCCUUGACAGGGCUGCCUGAGUCUAGAACUCUGCAGCCUAUUGCUGUCCUGUGCAUUGGACGCUCCAUACCAGGCUGUGACACAACCAGUCAGAAGGCCAUUAAUAUAAAUUAGCUAGAUCAUUUGAUGACUUAGCUAAUCUCCUCAACACCCAUUGAAGAAGCGCCACUGGCAUGCCUUCUUUCUGAUUGCAUCCAGGAAAGAUUAUCUGAGACGUUCAC